UGGGGAAUAUUGCACAAUGGGCGCAAGCCUGAUGCAGCCAUGCCGCGUGUGUGAAGAAGGCCUUCGGGUUGUAAAGCACUUUCAGCGAGGAGGAAGGGUGGUGUGUUAAUAGCGCAUCACAUUGACGUUACUCGCAGAAGAAGCACCGGCUAACUCCGUGCCAGCAGCCGCGGUAAUACGGAGGGUGCAAGCGUUAAUCGGAAUUACUGGGCGUAAAGCGCACGCAGGCGGUUUGUUAAGUCAGAUGUGAAAUCCCCGCGCUUAACGUGGGAACUGCAUUUGAAACUGGCAAGCUAGAGUCUUGUAGAGGGGGGUAGAAUUCCAGGUGUAGCGGUGAAAUGCGUAGAGAUCUGGAGGAAUACCGGUGGCGAAGGCGGCCCCCUGGACAAAGACUGACGCUCAGGUGCGAAAGCGUGGGGAGCAAACA
rnacentral:rRNA from 2 species